rnacentral:rRNA from 1 species
AUUGAACGCUGGCGGCAGGCUUAACACAUGCAAGUCGAGCGGGGAAGGGUAGCUUGCUACCUAACCUAGCGGCGGACGGGUGAGUAAUGCUUAGGAAUCUGCCAUUUAGUGGGGGACAACAUUCCGAAAGGAAUGCUAAUACCGCAUACGUCCUACGGGAGAAAGCAGGGGAUCUUCGGACCUUGCGCUAAAUGAUGAGCCUAAGUCGGAUUAGCUAGUUGGUGGGGUAAAGGCCUACCAAGGCGACGAUCUGUAGCGGGUCUGAGAGGAUGAUCCGCCACACUGGGACUGAGACACGGCCCAGACUCCUACGGGAGGCAGCAGUGGGGAAUAUUGGACAAUGGGCGGAAGCCUGAUCCAGCCAUGCCGCGUGUGUGAAGAAGGCCUUUUGGUUGUAAAGCACUUUAAGCGAGGAGGAGGCUACUAGUACUAAUACUACUGGAUAGUGGACGUUACUCGCAGAAUAAGCACCGGCUAACUCUGUGCCAGCAGCCGCGGUAAGAC